rnacentral:sRNA from 1 species
AUAUUUGGGUUCUGGGUCUGGAUCCUGGUAGCCACCACCCAGGUAGCAAACCCAUUGCUGCAAGGAUGGGUGAUGUAUUUCUCACUCACCUUGUUUCUCAUCUCCCUGGUGUUCCUGUUGUCUUCCUUGUUUGGAUUUUACAAAAGAUUUGAAUCCUGGAGAGUUCUGUUCUUCGCCUUCGUCACCAUGCUGUUCUACAUUCUCCAUGCCUUCAGCAUCUAUUACCACUGAUGCACAGGCACCAGGCCAAGGGGGAAAUGCUCUUUGAAAGCCCUGAUUAUUUCUCCCCGAAAGCAGCUUCCAACGCUUGCCAUCUGGAUGAUAAAACAGAAGAUCCACUAAAACAUCCACAGGAUUAACAGAGCUUCCUUGCAGACUAAGCGAUGACACCACACUUUGGACAUUUAAAUUCACUCUACUGAAUAGGAGGAAGCUUUUAUUUUCCUUUUCCUGGGAAAGUAACUCUCUCUUGGAAUUAUCUGACCGUGAACUUGCUCUUCUAGCAAACUCACAUCAAAGCCCUCACUGUUGAGAAUCCCAGCUCCACUGUCAAGCCUGUUUGGGGAUUUUGCCUCAGCUGUGGGCUUCCCUAGAGUAGGUUCAGGGGAAUACUCAGCCUGAUUAUCUUAAAAUUGAAGAGGUGCCACCAAGGCCUUCAGAUCUAAUGCAGAUCCACAGA